GCGGGAGCCGCCGGGUCCGGCCGCCUCCUCCGCGGCAGGGCCGCCUGAGCCGGCCCCGCGCAGGCCGCGCGUACAAAAUAAAUGUUGGUAUUGGUAGCCCACGAAAUCGACACUGCGGCUUCCUGCCGGCCCGGCCCGUGGGCCUGGCCACGCGUCUGAGUUCCGCGGGGUUUAGUUUUGCUGAGAGAAGGGAUAGGUUGGGCGGCACCGGGCCGGGUGCUCCAGGGGCCGGGAAAGGGUCUGGCACCGCCGCUUUCCACAAGUAUACGCGGUGAUAUAGGUUCGGGCUCGGGUUGGGUAUUAAUCGUCCACAGCAUAUCGUUCUUUGCUGUCAGCACAGGAACAAAAAAAUCAAGCGGAAAACAAAACGAGAUACAUCGCGCAGCUUUCUUAUUCGGAAAGGAGAAGGGGAAAUGUAAUGGACAGAGAGCGUGCUAAUCUCAUUCAGAUCAAAGCUGUAGCAAACGUCUAGCACCGCGUUAAGCUGCUUCGCGUUCGUGCUGGAGGAAAAGAUGCUCCGUAGAAACAAUACGUGAAGCUCAACCCCAGCUAAAAUAAUUUAUCCCAAGGAAAUUCAGAAAUUCAGGUUGUUUGGGUUUUUAAAAUCAAGACAAUUUAUAAUUAUUUCGUUUCUCAACACUGAAGUCAAUGUACGGGAUUUCUUGAAGAAGAGUGCAAUGAGGAGGAUAUUAUAUGAUUCUACCAUGGCAAGGGGUAAGAGGAAAGGGGAGGUUUUGAGGAAUGUUUGGAAGAGAAGCUUGUGCGUGGAACGGAGGCGCACAGCCCCAGCCCUGUGAAUACGGGUGCGUGUGCAGAGGGGAGCCGGCUCUCUGCAGAGUGUGAACGAUGCCUCACCUGCAUGCUCGUCGACGCUGCGGGUCGACCGAACCGAGCGGCGGGGAUGGGCUGAGAGUGUCCAGCUCCGGGGUCAGAGUGGGGCUGAACAGCAGAGCAGAAACCUCCUGGCUGAAGUGCCAUUCAACAGCGAUCUUCGUACAGCACUUGGGUAUAACUCGUAGGGAUACUGUUUCAACCACAUACUGUUCUCCCCCCAUGCCCUCCCCCCUACUUUUUCUUUUUUUUUUUUUUUUUAAUUUUUAUUUCGUUUUAAUAUUAAAGGCUAAAGGAAGAAAAUACUCUCUCCAAUGUAUACACUUAAUGCAUAUAGUGUACUUCCCUUGCACCACCCCCAGCUUCAGUCUUCAGUCCCCCUUCACACGGGUAUAGUGACUCUGUACUCUCGGGCUCUUUCAAGGCGGUUAAGCUGCUAAAAUGUACUGACAGCUUAAGAAAUGAAUGAGGUUUUUUUUCAGCCAUGAAGAAAGGGUAUUUAAUAACCACGCUUCGAUGGCAUCAUGCUUCCAUGAAACGAGUCUGGACACUUCGGUUUAACAAUCAGUAAUAUCACAUUCGGUAUAGUAAAUGCCUCCAUGUACUCUUAUAUAAUUCUAUUCCCCCUUGACUAUAAACUUGCCGUAUUUAUUCCAGGUUACCUGAGGCAAUUAAGGUAAGGACUGCUCAGCAGAUACUGAUACCCUGCUGCUAAGGCAUGGCGAAUGGGGACGGAGCAGUGCGCUAACAAAGAGAAAGAGGUAGUCAAACAUUUUGAAGAGGGGUGAAUGGGACUGAAGGUGGACGGAUGAAUGGAGGCAAAGAGGGAGAGGAAGAAGCAUUCAAUGGUCCAGACUUCUCUCCGCAUUUGUAGAUUUAAGUUUAGGAAUCCGCCUCUAGCCAGCUUCCAGUUAAUCCUCAACAGCUUCUAGUGAUUAGAAGUUAGUCUAUUUAGCAUGCUAUAUCCUUCUUCCAUGGGUUUUAGUUACAAGUUAUACGAUUAGGAUUGCGAGAACAGUAGUGAACUAAACUUCCCAGUAAGAGGUCUUCACACCAGGGAAGUGUUACUUUGCUGCAGCAGCCCUGCCUCGUCAGUCAUUAGGAAGCUGCAGGUUGUCAGAGGCUUCUCUUGCGCGCACACAAGCGCAGACACACACGCGCGCACACACACAAAACCACAGCACUAAAACUAAAUUAAGAAGCCGAUGAUUAAGACAAGCGUCUACGAGGCCUGUCAUUUCAGCAUCCUUCCAUCAUAACAUUGUGGCACUAAGAAAUUUGCUUGAAAACCCUGGAAAAAAAUGUCUAUGGGAGAGCCUCGUGUUUGAGGCUGUUAAUAUCAAAUAUAGACUGGGAACUGCCUCGGAUGCAAGAUAGUAUUCCGCAGAGGAAAGGAGCACUGCAGAGACCUUGGUGCUAUCUGCGCACUCCUGAAACUCUGGUAAGUAUCUCUCCCUUCUAUUGCAGCAGGUAUGCACUGUGUAACUGUAACUGGACCGGGUUUGAAAUCCGCAGCUAUGUUCCCUUCGGGGAACUCCCCCUAAAGAUAAAUCUGUAAUGAAAGGUCCCUACCGGAUGACUAAUGGGUAUUGGCACUCGGUGCCCCUUUAAGGAGAGCAGCACAUAUUGUGCCGGAGACCUUGCAAGCACACUUUAAAUACAAACCUUUUAAGUUUCCCUCCCAUGCAUACACAUCCCCGUUGUUUUCGGGCUAGCUGUUGUGUCUCUCCCCCCUCCCCCCCUUAUUUAAGCUCUCUAGUCUUCCCUCCCCCCACCCCAUUCAGAACUAAUUGCUCAGUUGCUUAAAUGUUUCAAAAAGAGCUAAAUUUCUCCAUCCGAUGAUCUUUUGAGAAGCUGCACUGUACCAUAAGGAACCGCCAGCAGGGCACUGUAUACCUUAGAGGAGCCUGCGCAAGUAGGGGAGAGGUAGCGUUAAAACAAUGACAUUAAUAAACUAAGUGCACCGAGUUCCCCUCCUGUUGAACUUCAGGGAGUUUCUUGGGCGGGCAGAGGUUGAACGGGGAACGUCGAAAUGGGAAACAAUGGCUGUAGGGGCCAGAAAGCUUCGCUGGUGUCGUAAGCGUAAAGCAAGACAGAAUAGUGACAGAAAGAGAUCCGAGUAAACAUUGGAGUAUACAUUUCCCACGGCGACUACGCUGAGUGGAGAGGUCUGAAUUAAAUCGCCUUAAUUAAAAGCUGAAGAUUUUAUUUAUUUAUUCCUGUAGCUGUAGAAUGCCAUCCACAGAAAGUCUAUCUGGAGAGUGUAGAGCAUCUAUUAGAUUUAUUCUGCCACUGCCAGAAUUUUUCAGAACAGAAUAUUUUUAUACUCACUGCCAACUUGAAGACCUGCAGGUUUUUAGGUCCUAAUUAUCGCUAUUAUUUUAUAUGCCAGUGUGCAGAAAAGAGCCGUUACACCUGCCUAGGCAAUAGGUGCAACUGUGUAAUGAAAGCUCUCCUUAAUUCAGAAAUCAAACAAAAAAUUAAAAUACCCUUUAAGAAUUAUCCACAGAAUUAUGCAGACGACGCUAAUAAAAUGCAAGGGAGAAAUGAGCAAGUUAAAGACCUUGUUCUGUUCUCGAGGUUUAAAGGCAUAAUUUUAUAUUUUGUUGGGUUUGCUGUUGAAACGUUUUAGGCCGGUGCUUUUGUCGGCGUUGUGAUAUGGAAGCAAAGAAUGUGAAAUAAAUACGUGGGGGGGGGAAGACCUGGAGAGAAAAAACACUCCAACAAAACAAACUCCCAAGUAGUGCUUGAUGAAGACCUCUAGCUGCUCUUUGACUCCUAAGAGACUGUUGCUAGAAUAUUUUCAUGGUUCUGUUGUAAAGCUCUUUAGCCUCCUAUAAACAUAAUCUUUGGCAAAUGCCACGUGGAUCUGGUUUUGCAGUUUUUCGGUGACUCGAGAGAAAAGACGCCCUUUCCCCCGCUCCACGCGCCCCCCCCUCCCCGGCUUCCACCCUUUCCGCAGCAGAAGGAUAGAUUCGGUCUCUUUCUCCCAGCGCUGCUCCCGCUCCGCCAGAGGCGUCCGGGCGCGGGGGGGCGCCGGUGCCGGGUGCCCAUCCGCCCGUCCUACCUGGCCGUGCCGCGCCCGCCGCUCCGUGCGCCGCGGCCCUGUCCCCGCUCCGCGCCUCCAGCGCGCCCCUCGCCUCGGCCGGGUCAGCUGCGGAUCCAAUUUUAGGGCCUACAAAAGCGCAUCAUCCUCCCCUAUCCUCCUAUCAUCCCCCGCCCCGGGGUCCCCUCGCAGCCACAGCAAAACGCCCGGUGUAGAAAGCAAGCCGCAACCGACUGUACACCCCUCUAGGGGAAGGCGUUCGGCAGCCUCGGGGUGAGGGUGAUGUCGGCUGUCCCCUGUCGGGGCUCAGGCUCAGGAGGUGCCGGAGCGAGGUGGCCGGACCCGCGCUCGGCAGGGGUCGGGGUGAUGGGGCUGGCGCUAGCGCCAAUGAGGCUGCUCGGGAAGAGGACCCUGCUCGCUCCUUGGCGUCCUGGCACAAGCAGGGCCCGCAGGAUCUGCCUCUUUGUGUAGCUUGUUCUGAACACUUUUUAUAUCGGGCAGGGUGGUC